rnacentral:rRNA from 1 species
GUGGAGCAUGUGGCUUAAUUUAACUCAACGCGGGAAAUCUUACCGGGUCCGGACACACUGAGGAUUGACAGAUAUAUACCCGUGAGUACUUCGGUGCUCGCGGGUUGAAAGAUGCUAGUUCUUUCAUGAUUAUGUGAUAGGUGGUGCAUGGCCGUUCUUAGUUCGUGGAGUGAUCUGUCUGCUUAAUUGCGUAUCAAUAAUAGAGACCUAGUAUACGCGUAGACUCAUGCGGUAGUGACCCCCCUUCACAGGGCGCGUGUCGCACGUAUGUUAUACGCACAGGUCUCCGAUAGCAACGAACGUGACCGUACUCUAUUGUUGCAGCGACAAUACCUUUCAACGGGUAUUACCGCUGCUUAGCAAGAUUCGUCUUGCAUUAAACUAUAGAGACCGCUGUUUCUUCUUUAAACCAGAGGAAGGAUACGGCAAUAACAGGUCUGUGAUGCCCUCAGACGUUCCGGGCUGCACACGUGCUACAAUGAUCGUUGCACUGUGCAUCUAACCCAAUGUGCGCGGACGCCGCCGUGCGUAUAUACUUUAUUGUGUAUGCGUAUCGUGCGUGCGACCGCGCCGAACCUGCUUCGAAAGUAAACAUUUCCAGCGGGUAAUCCAUUAGAAGUAAUGACUCGCAUAGACCAUGGCACACUAUAUGUACCCGCGGGUCCUACCCGGCUCGCCUUUGUGUGAGUGCAGUGCGUAGCUCGUUGUUUGGUACGU